rnacentral:rRNA from 1 species
UACGUAGGGUGCAAGCGUUAAUCGGAAUUACUGGGCGUAAAGCGCGCGUAGGCGGCUUUGCAAGUCGAGUGUGAAAUCCCCAGGCUUAACCUGGGAACUGCAUUCGAGACUGCAUAGCUAGAGUAUGGGAGAGGGAAGUGGAAUUUCAGGUGUAGCGGUGAAAUGCGUAGAUAUCUGAAGGAACAUCAGUGGCGAAAGCGACUUCCUGGACCAAUACUGACGCUCAUGUGCGAAAGCGUGGGGGGCAAACAGG